rnacentral:hammerhead_ribozyme from 1 species
AUACAGCUGACGAAACCUAAAUAGGACGAAAUGCGCAUCCUGGAU